AAUUCCUUCUCACCAGUGUUUUCUUUUAUCCAGUUUUUACCUUUUAUGAACAAAGUGCUAUGAAGGUUUGUUUCCAAGUCUUUGUUCAGACAAUGUUUUCAUUUAUUCUUGGAUAAACAAACAUGUAGGAGUGAAAAUGCUGGGUUGUAUGCUUAAAUAUGUUUACCUUCAGAAGUAACUUCAGAAUUAACUUCAAAAGUGGCUUUCUGAAGUGGUUAUACCAUUUUCCAUUCUUGCGUCAGUGUGUGGAGAGCUUCAGUUCCUUCAUAGCCGCUCAAUAGAAUUAUUAGCAUUUUUAUUUAUUGUGUUACAUGGAUGUUAGAAAAAUAGUCUGUAUUCAUUCAGAGACUCCAUUUAGUCUGACUAGACAAUAAUAUAGUCCUGCAAUAAGGACAUAAUGUCUCUUUUCAUCUUUUAUCUUCCCAGGGUUGACAAUUUUCAGUUUUCUAUUUUAUUUUUCUAAGAAAAAUACUAUUUUUUUUUUUUGUGUGUGUGUGUUUAAAUAUAGCUCAAUUGUAAUUGUCCAUUGAGGCAUAUAGGAAUUACAUUCUGAAGUCACAUUUCUGAAAGACAUUUCUCCUCUUACAACCAUUUUUAUAAAAAAAAAACUAUUGACCCCCCGACAUUUCUUAUUUAUAGCAGGUACUUUACACACAACAGAGCAGAUAUUUUUUAGUCAUUGUCUCUUUUUUUGAAUAAUAUUUCUUCACUGUACAAAAUGCAUUACUUACCUUCUAAGCAAAUAACAAAACUAGUCAGAACUGUGAAAUAAUGAAUCUGACAAUAUAGAGAAUUCUUAACUAACAUAAUGAUGCAAGUUGUUGAAUUUGAUCUAUAAAUCAUUUGAGAAUCAAUUUUUAUUCCCUGUAGACUGAAAGAGUGGAGAAAGGAUGCUUCUGAUAAGACAGAGUGUUUUUCCAUCACUGUCUAGCAAUUAAAAACCUUUCUAUUUUAAACUCAAAAUUCUGUAUGGUUGGGAAGCUCCACGCCAUGCCAGGAUAGAAUUGCCUUAGCAUUUCUGCUAUUGACUUUAGGUCUCCUCUUUUAAGGUAUACACGUGCAUGUACUUCAUUAUCACUGACAACAAGAAGAACACACAGCCCAAGUAGAUUUCAGUAUCAGUUUGGCAACACAGG
rnacentral:lncRNA from 1 species